CUUAAGCAUAAGGCUCAGCCUCCAAUAUACACUUAAUCACUUAAAAAAAGACAGGUUGACUUAUAAACUUGUCACUUGACAUUUAAAAAAAAAAAUCAUGCUUUAACAUGAAUGCACAACCCUUCUGGAAUUCAUGCAAAAUAGUCUUCCCUGCUGUGUUCAAAUUCAGUCUUCACGGCUGAUAUUAAAAAUUAAGCACAUCUUUCCUUUCACUUUUUUUUCUUUUUAGCACUUAAAUAUGCUGCCUCCUGAAGUACCCUUAGAAUUUGUGACCCUCACACUGGGCUGUAAACUCAUGCUGUAUUCAGGGUGACGCCUCUAACGGAAACCAUUUAAAAAAAUAGCACUUUAAUGCGGGACUGAACAGCUACCGCAGCCUAACCACGCUGCGCCACAGCCGACCCCCGCCAUGUUGCCCCCGCCGCUGCCGGGCCCUUCCCGUUGCCUAGAGACCAGAGGCGGCCCCAAAGCGAGGCGGGGGCGGGGCGCUCACCCCCCGCCCCAAACGGAUUGGUCCUUCCGGCCUGUCUGUCAAGCCAGGGGGCUUCCGCCGCCAUUGCCCGCUGCUCCCCGCCCCGCCGCUUCCUCGGUUGCCCGCCAUGACGCGUUUCUGCGUCGUCCAGGAAGAAAGAGGCCAGGAGGGGGCCGCUGUCGCGCGCGCGCGCGUCAUGAGCGAGGGGGAGCGUGUGCCAUGCUUGUGGGAGUUAAAAAUUUGUACUGCAGCUGAAUAAAGCUAGGACUGAAAUCUGAAGGAUGGCAGCAAAUCCUUCAGGACAAGGUCCCCACAGAUGGAAGAAGUACAUGUCCUGCUUCAGAAAGGACCAAAGUUUCCCAAAAGAAAAGUUCCGGUACAUUGGAAAAAACAAACUCUUGAAAUAAGUGCAGAAUUAUAAGCUUGAAGUUGUAGCAGUUCUGCAAGGUCUCUUUAUGUCCUGGUGGUUGUUUAUCCUUUUGGCCUAAAG
ensembl:lncRNA